CGUGUAGGCGGUUUUUAAGUCUGAUGUGAAAGCCCCGGGCUCAACCUGGGAAGUGCAUUGGAAACUGGGAGACUUGAGUACGGGAGAGGGCAGUGGAAUUCCCAGUGUAGGAGUGAAAUCCGUAGAUAUUGGGAGGAACACCGGUGGCGAAGGCGGCUGCCUGGACCGAUACUGACGCUGAGACGCGAAAGCGUGGGGAGCAAACAGGAUUAGAUACCCUGGUAGUCCACGCCGUAAACGAUGAGUACUAGGUGUCGCGGGUAUUGACCCCUGCGGUGCCGCAGCUAACGCAUUAAGUACUCCGCCUGGGAAGUACGGCCGCAAGGCUAAA
rnacentral:rRNA from 1 species